AGAACAUAGAGGCUCGUCUGAAGGUGUCGUUGCCGACAGAUCUUGGGGCGGCGCUGACGGACGGGGUGGUGCUCUGUCACUUGGCCAAUCACGUGCGCCCUCGGUCCGUCCCCAGCAUCCACGUCCCCUCCCCCGCCGUGCCUAAACUCACCAUGGCCAAAUGUCGACGGAACGUGGAGAACUUCCUGGAGGCGUGUCGCAGGAUCGGCGUUCCACAGAGUCAGUUGUGUCUUCCUCUGCACAUCCUGGAGGAGCGAGGGCUCCCCCAGGUGGCCGGGACCGUCAGCGCGCUGCUGGACCUGGCCCCGCCCCGGCACCCCGUCACCACAGCAACCACCGCACCCGGACCCUCUGUCAACAUCUAGACAACAGUACCAUGACCACCGCACGCGCUCAGUAGGCCUCCUGUAAGCGUGCAGCGAGGAGGAGCCGGUCAGGGUGUGAUGGAGAGACAAACAGACAGGUCCUGACCCUCCUGGGUCUUAAACCAGGACAGCCUUUAAAUGAAGACCCUGAAUCUUUAGUAGACCUCAGCCUGUCAGAGCGCAGACAGCAGAGUCCUGUUGAGUCCAUCACAGACCCUUAGUGUCCUCUCCAGAGCUCAGUUACUAAACAGGAAGUGAUGCGGGGUCCAGACCCUGAACCGGAUCACAGUCCUUCUGUCCCAGCUUCACUAACACUGAGGGGGGGGCGGUUCUCUGAGCUCUGUAACCCCCUUUACUUUAUCAGCACAGAGACGGCCUGACGAACACUACAGAGGACAGACCAGAACUCCCUGAGACCGCCUCAGAGAGGUCAGAGGUCAGGGGUCAGCUGUUCUUCAGACCUGUGCGGAGCGCUGAGCUCCUCCGUCAGAAUAACUCCCCCAGAUUAAGAUUACAGCUUUAACCUCUGACCUCCUUUAGUCUGUUUACACCUUGCUAACUCUUAAACAUCUUCACACAGAAAAACAGGAAACAUGUUUUAAUGUCUCUGAAAUAACACCUGAUGGUCUCACAGAGCUACAGGCUAUGAGCUACAAGCUACAGGCUACAAGCUACAGGCUACAGACUAUGAGCUACAAGCUAAAAGCUAUGAGCUACGAGUCUGACUGCUAUCACUGAACAUUUAUAAUCGUUCACACAGAGCGCUAACGUUCGUGUCAGUGGUUGUAGCUGAUGCUAACUGAACAUAAAUUUAAGCUAAUUUUAAAUGACACUAAUGUAGCUCCAUGCUAACGAAGCAAAUUCUGAUGUAAGUAGAACAGAGAUGAUGCUAAAACAGCUCACAGCUAUUUUUGCUAAUAUUAUAAACUUCAGUGGUGUGUAGCUAGCACCGCUAACUGUAAACAGUAGCUUAUGUAAGCUAACAUUAAGCUAAUGUUUGGCAGUUAGCACAAAAGAAGAGCUAACGGUGUCACUGCUAAUGUUAGCUAACAUAAUGAAGCUGGUUAUUUCAGAGUUUAAGCUAACACACUAAGCUGUAAUGGGCUAACAGAAACCAGUGCAGCUCACUGCUAAUGUAGCACCAAUAUUAGCUUUAUUUAUGAAGCUAGCUCAUAAAACCGUCUGUGUUUGCGUUCAGUUUAUGCUAAUGCUAACCAAAUGAAUCAUAACAACCAGGAACGCUAACGAGCUAAAACCAUGACACUAACUGUCUGCUAUAAAGCUAAUUAUCAUAAAGGUUUCAACAUUAAAACCGAUAGCUGCGAUGCUUAGCAUUACCUAGCACAAAUCUACUCAGUGAGGCUAAGCUAAUGUGGUCUUAUAUAACAGACAGGAUCAAGAUUAGCAUCGCACCGACGCUAAGAGCCACUAACGAUGGGAAUAACAGCGAACAGGUUAGUUUAAAAAUGAGCUAAUGUAGCUCAGUGCUAACGUUAGCUUAGUAAGCUAACGUUAGCAAAGGUGUUUCUGUCAUCAGCUGGUUUUUCAGCUUUUUGUCUCUUCAUCAGAUCCGAGCAUCAGGACUCGCUUCACUCCACCUGUCCCCUCUUCACUGAGACACCUGAGUCAUGUGACCCAGAGGAGGGUCACGUGACCCCUGAACUCUGACUGACAGGUGUGGUGUUUCCUCCCUCAGUGAGCGUCUCUUCUCUCGUCUUUUUUCAGCCUUCAUUUGAACUUCAUUGGUUUUGUUUGCGUUGACGGUCUCUGAGGCUAGCUUCAGGUGAUGUGACCUGGCUGCUCCUUCACCACCUGACUGAUCCUCCACCUGUGAUCAGGACCUCCGUCACAUGAAGCCGCUGCAGUGGAGAGAAACCCUGACAUGAAAACAAAGAGUGAUAUGAGUCUUCAGAUGAAGCUGGUUCAGACGAGGACUCUACCUGACAGUGAAGUUGUUUUAAACUUUAUUUAUUACAGCGGUUUCAAAGACACCCGGUCCUUCAUCAGAGUCUGUAAAUAAAGAAGAAAACCUGUACGAGAUAAGAACCUGAUCUAAAGUCCUCCACAUGUAAUCAUGAUGAGAGUCAGUCUGAAACCAAACAGAAGGCCACUCCCCCGACCGCUGAGAUAAUAAACAUCAUGUUUUCAUUUCUCUUUUUCUAAAUGACAUCAAUUAAAAACAGACCACAUGUUUUAAUCA